CUUGCCCUCGCCCAUACUCUCUCUCCUAAAAAAUGCAGGAAAGUAUCCCAUUAUUUCAUUCAAGUUCAUGAUGGAAGAAGCACAAGAUAGAAGACACCUUUUUUGGUUGAAGAUUGAAUGGAGGAGUGCCUCUUUGAGAACCUAUUAUUUCAUUCAAAUUCAAAGCUACUCUCAAAAUCUGGAUUUUGAAUAUGGUAUGGAUUAAUAAUUAAGUAUUCACUUUCGGUGAUGAAUUAGCAAGCUAAUAGUCCCUCUCUCUACCCUCUCUCUAGGGCAAAUUGUUCAUCUCGAAUAUUAAUUUACAGGCCCACAAAAACAUGGACUUGAUAAUCGUUCUUUUUUUUCACUUUAAUAUUGGGUUUUUCUAUAAUUUACAUUGUUUAUCUAUUUAUUGAUUGAUGUUUUGGUGUUGGGUUCUCUCUGCAUUUUGAUUUUUCACUGUAUUUGUGUUUAUUUAGGCAACUCCACUGCUAAAAACCCAAGCGUCUGAUGUAAAAUGGAAUUAUCUCGUUCUAUCUAUAAUUUUAAAAGUCCCCCCAAAAAAUAUGAGUUCAUAUUAGAAUCACUCAAUUUAGUUUUUGGUUCAUUGUAGCUACUGCAAUUAUUGACUUGUUUAUAAAUCUUGUUGAGAUCCAACACAUUUGCAAAGUAUUCGACAAAAUUCUUAAUAGAGGCUUGUUACAAUACCAAAAUUACUAGUAAUUUUCAUGCAUUGCAUCCCCGUUGUCAAAGUAGGCUUAUGUAUUUUUUUUUUAUUUAAGAUUUUUAUAUGUAUACGUAGGGGCCUGUUAUAAUACCAAAAGCAAUGCAUUUUUUUAAUUAUUUUACAUUCUUUUUUAUUUUGUUUUCUUGAUAUAUAGGGCCUGUUAUGAUACCAUAGGUAAUGUAUCUUGAAAGGAACUCUUAAUUAGUCCUUAAGUCUUGUCUUCGUAACUUUUGAAGGUAUUUGAGGAAGCAAUAUUUGAGGAAGCAAUCUCCUAAAAAAUGCAGGAAAGUAUCCCAUUAUUUCAUUCAAGUUCAUGAUGGAAGAAGCACAUGAUAGAAGACACCUUUGUUUGGUUGAAGAUUGAAUGGAGGAGUGCCUCUUUGAGAACCUAUUAUUUCAUUCAAAUUCAAAGCUACUCUCAAAAUCUGGAUUUUGAAUAUGGUAUGGAUUAAUAAUUAAGUAUUCACUUUUGGUGAUGAAUUAGCAAGCUAAUAGUCCCUCUCUCUACCCUCUCUCUAGGGCAAAUUGUUCAUCUCAAAUAUUAAUUUACAGGCCCACAAAAACAUGGACUUGAUAAUCGUUCUUUUUUUCACUUUAAUCUUGGGUUUUUCUAUAAUUUACAUUGUUUAUCUAUUUAUUGAUUGAUGUUUUGGUGUCGGGUUCUCUAUGC
rnacentral:lncRNA from 1 species